rnacentral:rRNA from 1 species
AACGAACGCUGGCGGCGCGCUUAACACAUGCAAGUCGAACGAGAAGCUGUAGCAAUACAGUUGUACAGUGGCGAACGGGUGAGGAAUACAUGGGUAACCUACCCUCGAGUGGGGAAUAACCAGCCGAAAGGCGGGCUAAUACCGCGUACGCUUCCGAUCUUGCGGGAUUGGAAGGAAAGCUGUCCCUUGGGGAUAGCGCUCAAGGAUGGGCUCAUGUCCUAUCAGCUUGUUGGAGGGUAACGGCCUACCAAGGCAUCGACGGGUAGCUGGUCUGAGAGGACGAUCAGCCACACUGGCACUGCGACACGGGCCAGACUCCUACGGGAGGCAGCAGUGAGGAAUAUUGCGCAAUGGGCGAAAGCCUGACGCAGCGACGCCGCGUGGGGGAUGAAGGUC